ACCGGUUUGGCUCAGUGGAUAGAGCAUCGGCCUGCAGACUGAAAGAUGAGGGUUCCAGCCCUAACCGGUU
rnacentral:tRNA from 1 species